GAUGAACGCUGGCGGCGUGCUUAACACAUGCAAGUCGAACGAUGAAGCCCAGCUUGCUGGGUGGAUUAGUGGCGAACGGGUGAGUAACACGUGAGUAACCUGCCCUUAACUCUGGGAUAAGCCUGGGAAACUGGGUCUAAUACCGGAUAGGAGCGUCCACCGCAUGGUGGGUGUUGGAAAGAUUUAUCGGUUUUGGAUGGACUCGCGGCCUAUCAGCUUGUUGGUGAGGUAAUGGCUCACCAAGGCGACGACGGGUAGCCGGCCUGAGAGGGUGACCGGCCACACUGGGACUGAGACACGGCCCAGACUCCUACGGGCGGCAGCAGUGGGGAAUAUUGCACAAUGGGCGCAAGCCUGAUGCAGCGACGCCGCGUGAGGGAUGACGGCCUUCGGGUUGUAAACCUCUUUCAGUAGGGAAGAAGCGAAAGUGACGGUACCUGCAGAAGAAGCACCGGCUAACUACGUG
rnacentral:rRNA from 1 species